CCAAAACUCCUAUUGACUCCGGCGGGAGUCAGAGCUUAGGGUGAUGUUAAUGUGGAGGAAGGAGGUUGGAUGAGAGUCAAAAACAAUGAGUAAAGAGCUGGUAGAAAACAGUAAGGCACUCAAUUCUGGCAAGUGGAAAGGGGAGAGCUGCUGGGAGUAAUAUGAUUAUUAUCCAGAAAUACACAAUAUAAUACAUGAAAUACAAAUGGACUACUAUGCAGAAUAAACACAAUGUAGACAUUUUAUCAAUAACUAUAUGGAAAACAAAUAAACUGGUGCAGCGGAAGCACUCCACACUGGAAUGGGAAAAGAAGUGGGCAAGGGGUAAAGAGCUAGGAGGGAACAGCGGAAUUACUCAACGCUGGCAGGGGGAAAAGAAAGGAGAGGGUGAUAGGGUAGGCUCUUGUCAGAGCCAAAGCUCAUGUUGACCCCUGCGAAAUCUGAGCUUAGGGUGAUGCUGAUGUAGCGAGGAGAUUACAUGAGAGUCAAAGGCAGGGAGUAAAGAACUAGGAGGAAACAGCAGAGGAACUCAAUGCUGGCAGGGGGAACAGAAAGAGGGUCAUGUUAAGCUCUGCGAGAGCUGAAGCUCAUAUUUACUCCAGCGGGAGUCUGAGCCGUGAGGGGGUUUGC
ensembl:processed_transcript